CAUGAUUUAGCCAGCACCCUCAGGCAAAGAGCCCUUUAGUUUGAAACCCCGAAACCAGGUGAGCUACCCCGAGACAGCCUAUGUUAAUUUAGGGCUAACCCGUCUCUGUGGCAAAAGAGUGGGAAGAGCUCCGGGUAGAAGUGAAAAGCCUACCGAACCUGGUGAUAGCUGGUUACCUAGGAAGUGGAUAGAAGUUCAGCCUCCCAUGCCCCAGAUCAAAGAAGAUAUUAUUAAGAUUAUAGGGAAAUGUGUGAGAGUUAGUUAAAAGGGGUACAGCCCUUUUAAUAAAGGAUACAACCUUAACAGGAGGAUAAAGAUCAUAAUAUGUAAGAUAUACUGUUCUAGUGGGCUUGAAAGCAGCCACCUAAGCAGAAAGCGUUAAAGCUCGGACAGAACGAAAUUUAUUAUACUGAUAGAAAAUCUUAAUCCCCUAAUUGUACUAGGCCAACCCAUGCCUACAUGGAAGAGAUUCUGCUAAAAUGAGUAACAGGAGGAUAUGAUCCUCUCCCAGCACAAGUGUAAACCAGAUCGGACAAACCACUGGAACUUAACGAGCCCAACCCAAGAGGGCAGUGUGGACAACAGAAAAUUCAAGAAGACCUCACACUAAUGUAUCGUUAAUCCCACACUGGAGUGCCAUAUUUAAAGGAAAGACUAAAAGAGGGGGAAGGAACUCGGCAAACACAAGCCUCGCCUGUUUACCAAAAACAUCGCCUCCUGCAACUAGACUGAGUAUAGGAGGUCCAGCCUGCCCAGUGACUAUGGGUUCAACGGCCGCGGUAUUUUGACCGUGCAAAGGUAGCGCAAUCACUUGUCUCUUAAAUAGAGACCUGUAUGAAUGGCUAGACGAGGGCUUAGCUGUCUCCCCCCUCCGGUCAGUGAAAUUGAUCUAUCCGUGCAGAAGCGGGUAUAAAUACACAAGACGAGAAGACCCUUUGGAGCUUGAGGUACAAACUUAACCACGUUAAACAACUUCACAAAGAGCAAGAACUUAGUGGCGAUAAGACUUUACCUUCGGUUGGGGCGACCAUGGAGGAGAAACAAGCCUCCAAGUGGGCCGGGCCAAACCCCCUUCCCUAAAGCCAAGAGACACAUCUCUAGGCCGCAGAACAUCUGACCAAAAAUGAUCCGACUAUAGAGUCGACCAACGGACCAAGUUACCCAAGGGAUAACAGCGCAAUCCCCUCCCAGAGUCCAUAUCUACGAGGGGGUUUACGACCUCGAUGUUGGAUCAGGACAUCCUAAUGGUGCAGCCGCUAUUAAGGGUUCGUUUGUUCAACGAUUAAAGUCC
rnacentral:rRNA from 1 species